UUUGUUUGCUUGGAUGUGUCCAUCUUUAUUUGAUGCCUUGAUCUUCAUGAUGUUUGAUAUUGCUAAAUGCUUGUUGAUAAAUGCUUCAUUCAAAGUCCAAAGGGAAAGUGAGUUUUCUAUAUGACAUUCUUGUCUGUUGGAUUGCAUCCCAUUGGUCGGAUCUUUUCAACUCUUAACUUUUAAUUUUAUGCUUAGGAUUAGCCUCUUCAUCUCCUCCCAUUUCUUAAAU
rnacentral:lncRNA from 1 species